CAGAAGGGGGGCAGCCAGGAUCCAUCCCUUUCCAGACUUCAUGUAAGGGUUGGCAAUGGAAGUAAGAUUCUCUUGUUUGAGUUCGCUGUGUACCUGAGGCCUUUUGAAGAGCUCUCAAUUGCAGAACACAAAAUUGUUAUGUUACUUCAUGCAACAAAACUGAGUUUCACAUGGGAACAAGAUUGGACUCCAAAUCAUGAGACUCUGCUUGAAGAAUCUAACAUCAGUUGAAGAAGCUGUUACUUCUCUGCAAGAGGAAUGAAGCAGCUCAGAGCUGAGUUCCUGGGCCUUCCCAACAGCUCAGUGAUGAGGAGCAACUGUAUAAAAGAAGAGUUCUGGGGAAACACACUAACAGCUGUACUCAUCAUCUGGACAGAUUGCAUCCUUGUCUUUGCCACAGGUUUCCUCUGGCACAAAACAUAUCACACAUCACUAAUAUUUGGUUCCUUUUCCAUCAUUUUCAGGAGUUUGUGGAAUUACAGAAGAGUAAUUAAACCAAAUUACUGAUGGUAUUUGGUAUAUUCCAAGUUUUCAGGUAAAGUCUGUCAUUGUGAAUACUAGGUGCAUUACAAUUGAGAUCUGAUACACUUUUUACUUCUUUAUUCCCUAUCCAUGUGGGUUUUGUCUGCUAUACAUCUCCAGGAACUUACUUCACACUUCUAAGAAUGAACUGAAAAUGAAAGAUAACGUUGAAAAUAUAGCUGCUUCAUAAGAAAAUAUCAAAUAUGAUUUCACUCUAUUAUAUAUUCUUGUCUUCUAGAUACAUUCAAGAUCCACUCAAAUGUACAAUGAGAAUUAUUUUCAGAGAUUUAAAUUUAAUUCAUUCUUGUGAAGACAUACAGUAACUCUUCUGCUUUCAGAUAUCACCUGCCAUUGUUAGAUGGUCCUUACACUCUUGCUGUUCUUUUGGCUUUUCUUGCUAUGCAAAUAUAUUUUAUUCUACUGAAAUAUCAAUGUGUUUUUUAGAGCUUGAAUAUUAUUCUACCUAAAACCAACUAUACUGUAGUCAUGCACGAUGCAACUAGUAGAUGAUAGAUUAUGACAGGUGGAGGCAGUAUUUGUACAGCAGAGCCUAAAUAGACUGUUUGUCUAUAGCUUCAGGGCAUAUGAAGAAAGAUUCACUUUUAAAGUAGUCUUUUAAUGUAGAUGUAGCUCCAAUGAAAACAAAAAAUUUCCAAGUGCUAUGAAACUAUAAAUAUGUACAGAGGUUGCUCCAAAACUAAUGCCUCCUGUUUAUUUCUGCAUGCUCUACAUACCUGCUGUGGUUUUCAAUAACACUGUUUGAUAGAGGAAAAUUCUCAGCUACAAAUUCCUAUUGUUCAACAUAAUCACCACUAUUAUCUCUGCAUUUUUACCAGUGAUGAACAAGAGCCUGUAUGCUCUGCUUGUAAAAAUCUCAACCAGAGGUUAUAGACCAUUGUCACUGCUUAAAGCACCAUCCGCCAUCUCACUGUGCUCACAUCUAGUGUUUGGUAUCCAGAAAUAUUCAGCAAGCAUUAAUGAAAGUCAGUGAGGUUCAAUUGUAUUCCACAUGGAGGAAUUCAAUUCCACACCUUUGCUUCAUCUGCACACCCAUGUCAGAUUCCCUUCUGUCAGAUUGCCCCUCUGCUGUCAUCUGUCACAUGGCAAAAAAUGGAACAGAAUAUUGGCAGGAAGGUUCAGCUUCUGUGCCGUAUUGCCAAUGCUUGGCUCUGACAUUUUGAGACAGCAUAAUAAGGUAGGAGGCAUUACUUUUGGAAGCCUUUGGAAAUCUUCAUGGAGCUCCCCAUUCUAAUUGUUCUAAUUUCUGCGUUACUGUAACGUAACAAGACCAACCAAUUUCACUUACCCACCUUAAAGUGGCUGAAGAACUGGAGGUAAACAAAAUAUGAAGAAAGAAAAUGGAACAGUAGAGAGUGUUUAAUGUUUUUUCCCAUAGAAGUAAGUUCAGAAGGAGAACCUAUCUCUGGAUGCUAAGAAGAAAGAGCUUUUGGGGUAGAGAGUUUGUCUCCACUGCCUUCUGGGCUUGCACAGGAACCCUGAAUGAGGUCUGCCUUCCCUUCUCUGUUCCAGCAGCAUUUAUCAUCAGCAAAUAUACCAUACUAUAGCUAUGAUAUAAGAAACAGUUUCAAAGCUUUCUGAUGGCAGACACCAUCCUGGAGGUUCUGGGGAAGAUCAGAGCUGAUGCUUGUGAGAACAAUUAGACCUGUGUAUUUUACAGAUAAAAACAUCCUUUAUUGUCUCUUUUGGCUGGCACUAGAUGUAGUUCAGUAGAAAAGGAUCUUGAGUUCAGGCUGAUAUGUCCAAGACAAUGGUAUGCAUCUGACUCUGGCAACCACUUUCUAUGCUCUUGAGAAUUUAUGUUGUCAGCCAUCCACCUUCAGUGGAUAUGUGAUUCAGAGUAGUAUCUGUGGCACUCAGUAAUACAAAUGCAAAUAGAAAACUGCUGCAACUUGAAAUAAUGCUGGCUCAGAGAUAGUUUGCUAUGUCAUUAUACAGUUUGCUUAAAAUAAUUGAGUAAAAUAAUAUCUCUCAUGGUUGCAUACAAUUAUUUUUGAUUGCUUUCUUAAAUGUGUUCAUAAAAUUUUAUAGUGCCCUUUGUACAACACCUACCAUUUUCCUGACCGGUUAAUGAAUGAUUCUGAGUUACAGCACCUCCAUCUUGUGGUAAACCUGAGAAAUAAAUCUUUCUUAAUGCUAUCUGCCCAAAAGUCCCUUUUAAAAAAAUAUGGUAAUAAAGAUUUGUCCAGGUUUUAA